rnacentral:rRNA from 1 species
AUUGAACGCUAGCGGGAUGCUUUACACAUGCAAGUCGAACGAGAGGCGGAAGGGUGAGUAAGAUAACGGAACGUGAACAGUAGAGGGGGAUAACUACUGGAAAGAGUGGCCAAUACAGCAUACUAUUGGAGCGGCGGAUAUCGGAUUAGCUAGUGGGUGGGGUAAAGGCUCACCAAGGCAACGAUCCGUAGCUGGUUUGAGAGGAGGACCAGCCACACUGGGACUGAGACACGGCCCAGACUCCUACGGGAGGCAGCAGUGGGGAAUUUUGGACAAUGGGGGAAACCCUGAUCCAGCCAUCCCGCGUGUGUGAGAAGGCCUUCGGGUUGUAAAGUACUUUUAGCAGGGAGGCGUUAUCUGCAGAAUAAGCACCGGCUAACUACGUGCCAGCAGCCGCGGUAAUUC